rnacentral:ncRNA from 2 species
AGACAUGACGUGGGAGAGCUGCUCGGUCGCCGCAACUGCUUCAGUUGCCCAGCUUCACUGUGCAGCGCCGUAGGUGCAAUUCCCUCCCCGGGAAACUCUCAGGCCCAGUACCACCGAUUGCAG